rnacentral:misc_RNA from 1 species
GAUGAAGAACGUAGCGAAAUGCGAUAAGUAAUGUGAAUUGCAGAAUUCAGUGAAUCAUCGAAUCUUUGAACGCACCUUGCACUCCUUGGUAUUCCGAGGAGUACGCCUGUUCGAGUGUUAUGAAGCUCUCAAAACGCAAUUGGCUUAAAACCUGAUUGUUGUUUUGGAUUUGAACUUUGCCGUGUUAUAACGGCUGGUUUUAAAAGUAUUAGCUGGUACUAGAACGAAUAGGUUCUACUCAACGUGAUAAUUAUCUGAUCGUUGAGGACAUUCCUUUCACGAGGAAUGGCCAUAGUAAAUUCAAUGGACUGCUUCUAAUCUGGCUUUAAUUCUUUAUUGGAUUAACCACUUUUCAAAUCUGACCUCGAAUCAGGUGGGACUACCCGCUGAACUUAAGCAUAUCAAUAAGCGGAGGA